rnacentral:pre_miRNA from 1 species
CGUGCACUCAGGAGGGGUCCCUCAGCCCAGAUUGUGAGAGGGUGCAGGCCAGGCUGAGGGACCUUACUGGUGCACA